rnacentral:rRNA from 1 species
UACGGGGGGGGGCAAGGCGUUGUUCGGAAUUACUGGGCGUAAAGGGCGCGUAGGCGGUUCGCUAAGUCGGAUGUGAAAACUCUGGGCUCAACCCAGAGCCUGCAUCCGAAACUGGCGGGCUAGAGUUCUGGAGGGGGUAGCGGAAUUCCUGGUGUAGCGGUGAAAUGCGUAGAUAUCAGGAGGAACACCGGUGGCGAAGGCGGCUACCUGGACAGAAACUGACGCUGAGGCGCGAAAGCUAGGGGAGCAAACAGG